UGUGUUUAGUGCUUACGUGGAUUCUCUCAUUUAAUCCUCAGGCAAUUCUCUAAGGAAAGUACUGUCAUGUCACCCCCGUCUGAGAGGACUGAGGCUCAGUGAGGUCCCAUGAGGUCACAGAGACAGCUUUUAAACUGUGUCAAGAUAGCCAGAGCUGGAACAGCAGAGCUACGCUGAUUGCUUGCUGGACAUGGAAGAGCAGCUUCUCUCACGCAAAGGUGUUUUCAGCAGGUUUCCCUUGGUUAAAGGAGAAAGGCUGGAUGCAGGAUAAAAAGAAAAACACUUUCCUCCAUGAAGGUGGGUUCUCAAGGGUGUGUUUGACUGAGGAGACAACUGUAAAGUCUCUUGGAAAUUGGUCCUUGCUCUGAUUUUUGCCGCGAAAGUACUGUUGUCAAACAGAUUCAAAUGGGUUUCACAAUUAAUGUGAAGAGGCUCCGGUUACGCCGCAAACGAGUGUGACUGCCCCUCAGGAUUAAGGAUGUUUUUCUGUGGCUGAACUGAGGCAUCUGUCCCCAGGGCUGGAGGCUGGGUAUGGCCACAGCUGACCUCCUUCUCUCCAUGGUCCAAGAAACUAACUUGGGAAAGAAGAGGGGAAGUUCUUAUUUUCACAUGCUGAAUAAAUUACCAGAAAUAGAACUUGGCUCAGAACCUCACAUAUCUUCAGACCAAGAACAACUAUGCUGGAGAAGCUGUAUUUCCUUGACCAUCACUGAGGAGGCUCAUCUGCACGUGGAAUGAAUUAAGAUAUCAAUGUCCUAUUUUGACUGCAUGUUAUUCAGAAAUGAGACUUUGGGAAGUCUUAGCAGGGGGUCAAUGCAUUUUGUAUGUGUAGGGGAAUAUAAAUAAUUUUGGGUCAGUGGGCAGAGGGGUUUUUAA